CAGCACCUCAAGUGGUCAGGAUGAUUAUUGGGCCUAAAGCAUCCGUAGCCGGCGCUGUAAGUUUUCGGUUAAAUCUGUACGCUCAACGUACAGGCUGCCGGGAAUACUGCAGCGCUAGGGAGUGGGAGAGGUAGACGGUACUAGGUAGGAAGGGGUAAAAUCCUUUGAUCUAUUGAUGACCACCUGUGGCGAAGGCGGUCUACCAGAACACGUCCGACGGUGAGGGAUGAAAGCUGGGGGAGCAAACCGGAUUAGAUACCCGAGUAGUCC
rnacentral:rRNA from 1 species